rnacentral:tRNA from 11 species
GCCGGGGUGGCGGAAUUGGUAGACGCGCAUGAUUCAGGGUCAUGUGCCCGCAAGGGCGUGCGGGUUCAAGUCCCGCCCCCGGCACCA